rnacentral:rRNA from 1 species
AUGGCUUCUUGCUGCUGCCCAAUCAUUGCCUCGUUCGUCUCUUUCCUCCUCGUCUUCCCCGUCCUCUUCUCCUCCGCGGCGGGCAAUGGCAGCACAUUCGGGGAGGAGCAGCUCGGGCUCCGGCGGAUGAAGGCCCGGCUCGCCAGGGUCAGGGAAGCCUCUGUCAAGACGAUCCAGAGCCCUGACGGCGACGUCAUAGACUGCGUGCCCUCUCACCUGCAGCCCGCGUUCGAUCAUCCCAGGCUGAGAGGCCAGAAACCAGAGGAGGAACCUGCGGCGAGGCCAGGGAAUGACCACGCCAUGGAAGACGACGACGAGGAGGAGGUCUUGCCGCAGACGUGGAGGAGCUCCGGCGAGUGGUGCCCCAAGGGGACCAUACCGGUGAGGCGGACGACGGAGGGCGACCUGCUCAGGGCCAGCUCCGUCCGGAGGUUCGGGAUGAAGCCCCGGAGUGCCGCGGCACGGCGGGACUCCACCAGCAACGGCCAUGAGCACGCGGUGGGGUACGUGAGCGGCGGGCAGUUCUACGGCGCCAAGGCGAGCCUGAACGUGUGGCCGGCGCAGGUGUCGUCGCCGGCCGAGUUCAGCCUGUCCCAGAUCUGGGUCAUCUCCGGCUCCUUCGGCAACGACCUCAACACCAUCGAGGCCGGCUGGCAGGUCAGCCCUGAGCUAUACGGGGACAACAGCCCCAGGUUCUUCACCUACUGGACCAGCGACGCGUACCAGGAGACGGGGUGCUACAACCUGCACUGCGCGGGCUUCGUGCAGACCAACGGCCGCGUGGUGAUCGGGGCCGCCAUCACGCCGGUGUCGGCCUACGGCGGCCGGCAGUUCGACAUCACGCUCAUGAUCUGGAAGGACCCCAAGAAGGGCAACUGGUGGCUGCAGCUGGGCCCGUCGGGCGCGCUGGUGGGCUACUGGCCGUCCUCCCUCUUCACCCACCUGGGCGCGCGCGGCCGCGGCGGCGCCGACAUGGUGCAGUUCGGCGGAGAGGCGGUCAACACGCGGCCGUCCGGGUCGCACACGCCCACCCAGAUGGGCAGCGGCCGGUUCCCGGGGGAAGGGUACGGCCGCGCGGCCUACUUCCGCAACGUGCAGGUCGUGGACUGGGACAACAACCUCAUCCCGGCGGCGGGGCUCCGGCUCCUCGCCGACCACCCGGGGUGCUACGACAUCGCCGGCGGCCAGGGCGGCGCGUGGGGCAGCUACUUCUACUACGGCGGGCCUGGCAGGAACGUCCGGUGCCCCUAG